UGGUUAGUAUUUGCCUGCGCGUCACAAGCAAGGCAAAUCGAAACAGAAUUCCCGCAAAGACAUGGCAGGCAAACACUACAUUAUCACAGCGUUCUCUUUUCUUAUAGCUAAAUUCACAUUUGGUGAAGUCACAAGUAUUAAUUAUGGACUUCCAAAUGGGAGCAUCACACUAAAAGCUAAUGUCAGUGGCAUUAUUGAAGAAAUCCUCUGGAAAUGGAAUGGCCAUAAAGUGUUUGAACUUGACCAGAUUUCAAGAGAUGAGUACGGGCAGUUCAUAGGACGAAUCGACUUCGACAGCACUACAGGUGACCUGACAAUCUCAGGCCUCACAGAAAGUGACAGUGGAAUUUACAGAGCUGAAGCACACGUUCAGGGAAAGCUGCAAUACUCGCAACAUUCUGUGGAAAUCAUUGAUCCUGUGACAGAUCCAAUAGUAACCUGCCAAAAGAGCGGCAGCAAGCUAACGCUGAUCUGUGCUUCGGACUUGAGCCCACUGACCGUGUACAGCUGGGAAGGACCCAAAGGGCCGAUGUUGUCCUCGGGGUCCGAGCUUCAUCUCGAGAGUGCUGAAAAUGGGGAUUCGGUCUACACCUGCGUGGUGAAGAACCCAGCGAGCGAGAGCAGAGAGGCCUUUGCUCUUCAUCGCUGCUUCUCUGCGCAAGGUUCUAUUGUCAUUAACCUGGCCAUAGCUUUUGGUGUUCUUUCUGUUGUUUUGGGAGUCCUUAUUGGAAUUUUGGUCUACUGCAAGAAACGUGAUAGAGGUUUAAAUGUGCUUUCUUGCAUUGCCACAGCGAGUCAACGAUUGGUAACGAUACAUAAGGAAAAGGAGGACACCACAAAUGAAACACCAGCAGAAAUCGAUCCCUUUAUCGUGGAGGAGAAAGCAGAGCUAGACCAUGAGAAAAACAAUCUUGAGGAAGGAAAUCUGAGGGAACAGGAGGACACUUCAAAUUCUGUUCGUACACUUGUAUCUCUUCCGGGGCAUGGAGGUGUCAGUAUUGAGCAGGGGGGUGUCAGUAAUGAGCAGGGAGUCCUGAACAAUGAGGACAAUGACCCCCAGGAGGAACCAGCCAGUGGGACAGGGAAUGAAGAGGACCCAUCUCACACCAGACAGGAAUCCCCCAACAUAGCAGGAGCACAAGUGGAGGAAAUAGUUGAAGAUCCGGUGGCCAAAUGCCAAGAGGAGAAUCUGCCAAAUCCCCUAUCAGAACCCCCUGGCACCUUUGAUGAUGCAGAGCCCCUCCCAGGACCCCAGGUAUAAGGAGUGGAGAGACCAGAAGGGUGAAAAGUGCACAGGGAGGGAGCGAAGGACUAUCUGAUGUAGUGUCAGAUCAUAUAAGUGCUUCACACGCAAGCUUGGGGAGUGAGGCAGACAAUGUGGAGGACAACCUGAAGGGAGAUGCGCAAAAUGAAUAAGAAACCUCCAAAACUGCCCGUCAAGAUUCAGCCUAAAAGCACUAACAAUAUAAUGUGCCAUAGCCCCGUCUUAGCCUGGGGUGUCUGUGUGUGUGUGUGUGUGUGUGUGAGAGAGAGAGAGAGAGAGAGAGGCUUCAGGCAAGGUGAAACACUAAAACACUAGGUUAGUGUUUGAAUUAACUUGGACCCCCCCAAAAGAGGUACAAACAACAGGUCGGGGGAGUCGAAACAUUUAUAUAUCCUUCUUACCUGUAAUCGUAAAUAUUACAAUAUAUUUCCCAUCAGUGGGAAAUAUAGGGUUGGUGUCUAGUGACGCCACUGAUGGGAAAUCCCCGCCGUAAUUCGAACACUGCACUAGGUCAAACACUAGUGACCUCACUAUGUUCUGAAAAAGCAUAACUAAUCACACAGAGUUCCUCCAAGUUGCAGUGUUGACAGUUUAUAAGUUGAACAUGUCAGAGGCACUACAGGAAACAACCUUCUGCAACACCAUGACAGCAAUGACGGUACCGAAAAUAAAACCGUGGCCGAAGAAGCUAUGGAAAGCACCGCUGAUGGUGAAGGCACUACCGAAAAUAACACUAUGACCAAAGCUCCGAAAAGCAACACUGCGACAGGAAUACACACUAAAGGCAGAAAGUCUUUAAGAAAACCAUACAGACAGAAAUAUUGGGAUGUAAAAAUGCACUAAAUAUUCAAAGGGGCAAUUCAUAAAUGCCACGAUAUUGUUUAUAAUUAUUAUUUUAUAUUGUAUUUAUUUAGCAGAUUCUCUAAUCGCAAGUGGCUUAGAGGCGUACCAAGGUGCAAUAUGCAAGUGCACAUACACUGUGUUCUGUGGCACUAGGUGAUGACACUAUCCUCUUUAGGGGGUCUCAAUCACACUGACAAACAGAAUCACCUAUUGAGAGUGGUUCCACUUUUAUAUUUGUAGGCAAAUACAGAGUUUAAUAAAAAUGAAAAUUAUGGUAAAAUGACCUUCUCUUCCUUACCGUUCUAAAGCAACCAUGGAUGUAACCGCAUUUUAAAAAAUAUUCUGAGCCUGUGAAAGUGUUUGUGCUUCAUCCUGAUGUAAAUGCAGUCAGUAUGUUAUAGCAUGCGUUCGCAUUUUUGGAGGAAAAAAAAAACCCUAAUGUGCACAAGGCAAUGUCCUUGGAGUCGGGACGAGGUAUUAUGAUUUGUGUGACCUUUCUGUUUCGGUACAUUUUGUAAAAACAUGAUUACAAAAAAGUACGUUUUUCUCAAGGAAGUAAAUUACUGUAUUGGAGAACUGAAGCUUUCUUCGAUGUUCCGUUGUAUGCUUUGAUAUAUCAUGGGAGCAUAUUAUCAUGAUUACUAGUCUUGUCCUCAUUUUCUUUGUUACAAGACUUUGGCAACAGUUUAAAUGUUUUUAUUUAUAAUUAAUUGUCCAAACUGCUGCUGCUUGCUGUUGCGGUUUGUUUGCUGUCUUGUUCACGUUAGCUUUUGUACCACCAUUUUUGGCUGGACCACAACAGCGGGGCCAGCCCUACAAACAGGAAUGUCUGUGACUGAGUGAGUGACUGAGUGAUGAAGUUACACCAUUGGUCAGCCGAGUUAUGAAGUUACACCAUUGGUCGGUCGGAUCACGUCUGUUAGGUCCAGCCAUAUACUAGGUGUUGACCUGGUCUUGUUUAUGCCACUGUUAUGUUUAUUAUUCCUUGGGCAGCUGAUACUGUGAGCUUUGACUACCACAUAAAUGGAAUUCAGGUCAAUAAAGGACUGCAGCUGAAAUGUGAA